GCUCUAAUAGCUCAGUCGGUAGAGCGGUCGACUGUUAAUCGAUUGGUCGUAGGUUCAAGUCCUACUUGGAGCG
rnacentral:tRNA from 1 species